rnacentral:rRNA from 1 species
AGCGACUGUUUAUCAAAAACACAGGUCUCUGCUAAACCGUAAGGUGAUGUAUAGGGGCUGACGCCUGCCCGGUGCUGGAAGGUUAAGAGGAGUGGUUAGCUUCUGCGAAGCUACGAAUCGAAGCCCCAGUAAACGGCGGCCGUAACUAUAACGGUCCUAAGGUAGCGAAAUUCCUUGUCGGGUAAGUUCCGACCCGCACGAAAGGCGUAACGAUUUGGGCACUGUCUCAACGAGAGACUCGGUGAAAUCAUAGUACCUGUGAAGAUGCAGGUUACCCGCGACAGGACGGAAAGAC